UGCCAGCCGCCGCGGUAAUACGGAGGGUGCAAGCGUUAAUCGGAAUUACUGGGCGUAAAGCGCGCGUAGGCGGUUACUUAAGUCGGGUGUGAAAGCCCCGGGCUCAACCUGGGAAUUGCAUUCGAUACUGGGUGACUUGAGUAUAGGAGAGGAUAGUGGAAUUUCAGGUGUAGCGGUGAAAUGCGUAGAGAUCUGAAGGAACAUCAGUGGCGAAGGCGACUGUCUGGCCUAAUACUGACGCUGAGGUGCGAAAGCGUGGGGAGCAAACAGGAUUAGAUA
rnacentral:rRNA from 1 species